AUGCCGGAGGCGAAGUGUUCAGCGGCAGCGGAUUUGAAGGUGGCGGCAGUAGCAGAUCGGCGUGAGCAUCCUGCUCUCUCUCUCUCUCUCAUCCUGCUCUCUCUCAUCCUGCUCUCUCUCUCUCUCUCUCUCUCUCUCUCUCUCCGCAUUGGUAUUUGUUUUGUGGCGUGGGAUCUUCAACACGGCCAUGCGUACGAAUCUCAAUCGAUAGGCAGCAGCAUACGGCCAGCCGACGCCAUCACAGUAGCUCGGCUCUGUUACAAUGAGAGGAUGAGAAGGGAAGGAAUUAUGCAGUACGCACGCCGCCGUAUACUACCAGAAAAACUCAAAGAACAUGUCCAAUUAACCUUGGAUGCCGGAGUGUCCAUCAGGGGCGGGAAGUUUGCGAGGUGCUGA
rnacentral:rRNA from 1 species